UAGGGUAAGGGUUAGGGUUAGGGUUAUGGUUACGUCUAGGGUUGGAUUAGAGUUUCAGUUAGGAUUAGGGUUAGCAUUAGGUUUUGUGUUAGGGUUAUGGUUAGGGUUAGCGUUAGUUUUAGAGUUAAAUCUGGGUUAAGGCUAGGAUUGGAUUAGAGUUGCUAGUAGGGUUAUGGUUAGAGGUAGGAUUUGGGUUAGGGUUAUGGUUCAUUACGGUUAGGGUUAGGGUUUGGGUAAGGGUUAGGUUUAGAGUUAAGGUUAGCAUUAGGAUCAGGGUUUGGGUCGGGUUAGCUCUAGAGUUAGGGCUAGGAUUGGAUUAGAGUUGGGAUUAGGUUUAGAGUUAGGAGUUGGGUUGGGGUUAUGUUUAGGGUUAGGGCUAGGAUUUGUUUUAGGGUUAGGGUUAGCUUUAGGUCUAGAUUUACAUCUAGGAUUGGAUUGGAGCUGAGAUUAGGGUUAGGUUUAGGUUUAGGGUUAUGGAUAGGGUUAGGUUUAGGGUUAAGAUUAGGUUUAGGGUUAGAGUCAGGUUUUGGUUAGUUUUAUGGCUAGGGCUAGGGUUAGUGUUAGGUUGAGUUUUGGGGUUUAGCAUUGGGUUUGGGGUUCAGUUUGAGGUUGAUUUAGAGUUUUGGUAAGUGGUAUGGUUCUGGUUAGGCUUAGGGGCAUUGUUAUGUUUAGGGUUAGGGCUAGGUUUUUGGGUGGAUUAGCUUUAGGGUUAAGGCUAAUUUUAGGGUUUGGGUUAGUUUAAGGUUUAUGGUUAGGUUUAGUCCUUCGGGUAGGGUUAGAUUUAGGUUUGGAUUAGCAUUGAGGUUAGUGUUACGUUUAGUGUUAGGAUUAGGAUUAGAUUAUUUUUAGGGUUAGUUUUAGGCUUAGGGUUAGUGUUGAAUUAUCGUUAGCAUUACGGUUAUUGGUUAGGGUUAGGGUUACUGUUAGGGUUAGGGUUUGAUUAGGGCUAUGGCUAGGGUUAGGGUUAGGUUUAGGGUUAGGGCUAGAGUUAGUGUUAGUUUUCAGUUAGGUGUAGGGUUAAGUUUAGGGAAUGGUAGGGGGUAGAGUUAGGAUUAUGGUUAGGGUUAGAGUUAGGUUUAGAGUUUGGUUAGGUUUAAGGUUUUCUUAUAAAGCAAUUACAAUUUAAUUGCACCUGUGUAUAAAAACAGAAUUAAAAUUAAAAAACGACAAUUAAAACACAUUCAGUUCUCUUUUAAUAAACCCCGUUUAGCUUAUUUUGAUGUUCUUUUU
rnacentral:lncRNA from 1 species